UACAGAGGUCUCAAGCGUUGUUCGGAAUCACUGGGCGUAAAGGGCGCGUAGGCGGCCUGGUAAGUAGGGGGUGAAAUCCUGCGGCUUAACCGCAGGGCUGCCUUCUAAACUGUCAGGCUCGAGCACGGUAGAGGCAGAUGGAAUUCCCGGUGUAGCGGUGGAAUGCGUAGAGAUCGGGAAGAACAUCAGUGGCGAAGGCGGUCUGCUGGGCCGUUGCUGACGCUGAGGCGCGACAGCGUGGGGAGCAAACAGG
rnacentral:rRNA from 1 species